rnacentral:lncRNA from 1 species
AUUCAGAUACCAAUGAUGUCCAUAAGGAUUGUUUCUGAUCUGUACUGCCGAAUCUGUCUGUCUGUACAUUAUUAGAGGAGUUAAUAGAAAUGUAAGGCAAAAGGAGUAAUUGAGCAAUUCUGUCCCCCUUUUUGAAUUGUCAUAGAAUCUGAGAUGACAUCAUAAUUUGAAUCUCUCCUUGAUAAUCUGAAUCAAUUAUUUCAGAGUGAACAGUGAUUUCUUUAGAAGUCAAGCUAGAUCGUCCAAGUAAAAGACUGAAGGUUUGUGGCGGCAGGGGUCCGAAAAGUCCGAAAAAGACCACCGUAAACCACUAAGCAAGAGGAAACAAACAGCUACUUCUAAUAGUGCUGCUGGAGACACUAGUAGUAGAAAAAGGGAUUUCAGGUAAUAAUUCACCUCCUCAGUGCAGCCUGAAUCCUGUCUGCUGCUCACUGAUGAUAUGAUUCAACAGUAUACAAAGAAGUAUUGGAAAAUUAAGGAGGACACCUACCACCAUUCUUCAACUCGACAUGUAGGCGCAAAGGGACAACAGGCUCAGCGACCGAGAACUGCAGUUAAACUAUUAAACCUCCUCCAUCUUUUGUUUCUAUAACAAGUGGAAUGCAUAAAAGGAGACUCCUUACCUGACGCCUGGGUUAAGAGACGCAGUGAUCUGCACACAGAUGCCUUCCUUGUGUAUCUUUCAGAUGAGAUAAUUCAUCAAGUCACACAUCACUUACCUAUGAAAAAAUAAUUAAUUUCAUAAAGACACUCUAACCUACUAGUUUAAAGAAGUAUCUACUCUGCUAUGAUUCAUUCCAAAGGGCUUAAAGUCAAUUGCACAUAUAAAUCACUUAAAACAAGGUAUACUAGAUGUAAAACCUUAUAGCUAUCUGCUUCUAGAAAUAUGUUCAACCACAAUUACUGUAUAGUUU